rnacentral:lncRNA from 1 species
GGGGGGGGGGGGGGGGGGGGGCGUCCCUGAGACCCUGUCGUGUGUCCCGAGGGGCGCAGCUUCCUCAGGCACGUCCUUCCGUCCAGCCCGCAGGUGUCCAGCCGCGCCGGGGGAGGGUGGGGCGGGGGCCUACACCGAGACAUCGGGCGGGUUUCCCAGGAAGUUUAGGGCGCCCGGGGCCCCUAGUAGCGGGUCUUCUCGGGGAGGAGCUGCAUGGGCGGUGAGGCAGGGGCGCGUGGCGGAGCCCCAGGUAAUUGCCGGUUAUGGUCGUUGUAGGUUAUCAGCGAGCUCAACGGGAAAAACAUCGAGGACGUGAUCGCUCAGGGUAUUGGCAAGUUGGCCAGUGUGCCUGCUGGUGGGGCUGUGGCCGUGUCUGCCGCCCCAGGGUCUGCAGCUCCUGCUGCUGGUGCUGCCCCAGCCGCAGCGGAGGAAAAGAAAGACGAGAAGAAAGAGGAGUCCGAGGAGUCAGACGACGACAUGGGAUUCGGCUUAUUUGAUUAGGGUCCUGCCCACCCCCACCCACUGGCAAAUAAAACCCUUUUUGUGUAUCUGUGGAGUGGUGUG